CCCCCAAAAGCCCAGUGUGGGAUUUCACUCUUGUACUGCAAUUCCUUAAGCCCUUUACUCAUGACGCAAUGUAGGAUGUCAAACUGAAAUGGGUUCUCUUGUUUUUCCUGGCAAGUAUUUCAACAGAGUACUCGCAUGCAUUGGUGGCCAGAUGAUUCUGGAGUGACCUUGUGGCUGAAGGGUUUUAAAAUCUUUGCACUAAUUUUAUUAACCAAUCGAAUGAAUUCACAUCAUUCAAUGGAAGUGAACCUGUUGGGGAAAGAAACAGGGUCCACAUUUACAUAGUGGUGCUUUAAAGUUAGAAUUUUAUGUAUCUGCAUAAAUAUGACCUAAAACAACAUCAGAUUUUCUACUACAGGUACUAAAAGUAGACAAAGAGAACCCAGUUAAACAAAUGAGACAAAAAUAUUAUACUUGGUCAUUUAUUUACUGAGCAAAAUGAUCCAAUGUUACAUAUCUGUGAGUGGGAAAGUAUGUGAACUUCUAGGAUUAGCUGUUUUAAUUUGAAGGUGAAAUAAUCAGAGUCUGAUCUUCAUGACAUAUUUGUGGAAGCGUAUCGUCACAAACAAAGGAGAUUUCUGAGGACAGCAAAAAGAGAUGUUGAUGGUCAUCAGGCUGGAAAAGGUUACAGAACCAUCUCUAAAGAGUUUAGACUCCACCACCUCACAGUCAGACAUAUUGUGUACAAAUGGAGGAAAUUUAAGACCGUUGUUAUGCUCACCAGGAGUGAAGACCAACAAAGAUCACUCCAAGAGCAAGACGUGUAAUAGUCCACGAGGUCACAAAGGAACCCUGGGUAACUUCUAAGCAACUGAAGACCUCUCUCACAUUGGUUAAUGGUAAUGUUUAUGAGUCCACCAUCAGGAGAACACCGAACAACAGUGGUGUGCAUGGCAGGGUUACAAGGAGAAAGCCACUGCUCUCCAAACAGAACAUUGCUGCCCGUCUGCAGUUUGCUAAAGAUCACGUGGACAGGCCAGAAGGCUGUUGGAAAAAUGUUUUGAGGAUGGAUGAGUCCAAAAUAGAAUUUUUGAUUUAAAAGAGAAGUGUUAUGUUUGGAGAAAGGAAAAAACACUGCAUUCCAGCAUAAGAACCUUAUCCCAUCUCUGAAACAUGAAGGUGGUAGUAUCAUGGUUUGGGUCUGUUUUGCUGCAUCUGGGCAGGACGACUCACCAUCACUGUUGAAACAAUGAAUUCUGAAUAUCAGCAAAUUCUACAGGAAAAUAUGAGGACAUCUGUCUGUGAACUGAACCUCAAGAGAAAGUGGGUCAUGCAGCAAGACAACGACCCUAAACACACGAGUCGUUCUACCGGUUAAAUGGUUCAACGGUUAAAUAAGAAUAAAGUGAAUGUUCUGGAACGGCCGAGUCAAAGUUCUGACCUUAAUCCAAUAGAGAUGUUGUGGAAGGACCUGAAGCGAGCAGUUCAUGUGAAGAAACACACCAACAUCCCAGAGUUGAAUCUGUUCUGUACUGAGGAACGGGAUAAAACUCCUCCAAGACGAUGUGCAGGGCUGAGCAACAGUUUAGUCGCAGUUACUGCUGCACGAGGGUGCAGAUACUGAAAACAAAAGGUUCACAUACCUUUGCCACUCACAGAUAUGUAAUAUAUAAUUUUUGUCUCAUUUGUAUUAUUGGGUUCUCUUAUCCACUUGUGUGAAAAUCUGAUGAUGUUUUAGGUCACAUUUAUGUAGAAAUAGAGACCACUCUAAAGGGUUCACAAACUUUCAAGCACCCCUGUACAUAAAUAGUGAUUCGUUUAGCAAUGAGUACUACUAACAUAGUAGUAGUCCUACAAUUCAUCAAUUCAAUGACAUUUAAAAACAUUUACUAUAAAGUGGUUGUGUCUGUGGGUAUGAUCCGCAUUCCUGUGUGUUGCAGGAACGACACUGGGAUAUUUGUAUCUGAGAUAAGACAGGGAGGGCUGGUUGAGACAGAUGGAAGACUCUCACUUGGUGAUCAGAUUUUAUCAGUAAAUGGAGAGGACAUAAGAGCUGUGACUCAAGAUUACGCCCGAACACUACUCCAGGUGUUACUCUCACUCACACAAACACUUUCCUACAGAACAACCAACACACAAACACUUAAUACUGAUAUUUGUUUGUAAGUGUAUAAUCAAAAGGACUAGGCGAUUUCAUUAAUGCGUGUGUGGGUUUCAGAACUGCAGUGGAUCAAUGGUGCUGGAGGUAGCACGUUUUAGAGCUACUCCACAUUAUUCAUAUGAGUGCCAGGUAAGGAAUGGAGUGUGAUGCUGUAAUUUCAAAGUGCUUCACUUCAUAAUGGACAUUAAUAACAUGGCAAUGUCUGCUUUAACCCCUGUAGUCGCUGUCUUUUUCAAAUAAAAGGCAGAACAUGUAUACGGUGAGCUGAAAUAAGUAUUCAGACACUUUGGUUUUUGUAAUUUGUAUUUAAUAUACACUAUAUGGGUAAAAGUAUGCGAACACUUAACCAUCACACCCAUAUAUGGGCCUUCCCCAAAUGUUGCCACAACGUUGGAAGAACACGGUUGUCUAGAAUGUCUUUGUAUGCAUUUCCCGUCACUAGCUCUAAGGGUCAAGCCGAACAUGUUCCAGCAGGACAAUGCGCAAAUGGCUAAACGCACAAAGCGAGGGCGAUAAAGUUUGCCAAUGUUGAGUGGAAGAACUCAAGUGGCCUGCACAGAGCCUUUAACCUCAACCCCACUGAACAGUUUUGCCCAGCAAGCGUCCUCGUCCAAUAUCAGUGCCUGACCUCUCUAACUCUCUAGUGGCGAAUACACACAACCACACUCCAACAUCCAGAAGAGUGGCGGUUAUUAUCACAGCAAAACGCGGACGAAAUCUGGAACGGGAUGUUCAACAAGCACACAUUGGUGUUUUGGCCAUGUAGUGUACUUCCAGUGCAUAUAUCCACUUCAAAUUUUACCCUUGUAUUCGCUUACUUGUAAGUGAAAUAACGAGGGCAUAACAUACCCCAGUGCACGGAACAGCUAAGCAGCAACUUCUCCAAUUACUUUUCCAUCCAUCCAUCCAUCCAUCUUCUAUAGCGCUUAUCCUUUUCAGGGUCAAAGAGAACCUGGAGCCUAUCCCAGGGAACAUCGGGCACAAGGCGGGGUACACACUGGACAGGGUACCAAUCCAUCGCAGGGCACGAUCACAUACACACUCACACACCCAUUCAUACACUACGGACACUUUAGACACGCCAAUCAGCCUACCGUGCAUGUCUUUGGACUGGGGGAGGAAACCGGAGUACCCGGAGGAAACCCCCGCAGCACGGGGAGAACAUGCAAACUCGGCACCUAAUAAUCCCCUCAAAUUAAAUCUAAAAGUCUGGAGAUUAUAUUCCUUAUUGAAUUUUACAUCCAAUAUUCAUUGAUCGGCCAGAACAUACCAACCACUGACAGGUGAAGUGAAUAACAGUGAAUUACAAUGGCAUCUGUCAAGGGGAGGGGUGGGCUAUAUUUAUUAGGCAGCAAGUGAACAGGGAGUUUUCGCAGUUGAUGUGUUGGAAGCAGGAAAAAUGGGCAAGCGUAAGGAUCUGAGCGACUUUGAUAAGGGCCAAAUUGUGACGGCUAGACGACUGCGUCACAGCAUCUCCAAAACAGCAGGUCUUGUACGGUGUUCCCGGUAUGAAACACAAAAAAACAAAGUGGUCCAAAGAAGGAACCAGUGACAGGGUCAUGGGUGCCCUUCCGAGGUCUUGUGGAGUCCAUGCUUCGAUGGGUCAGAACUAUUUUGGCAGCACGAGGGGGACCUACACAAUAUUAAGCAGGACCUGAUGCAAAAACGUUCUCAUGCAAAUUGGACCUCAUCGUAAAAGACGUUGCCAUUGGUGGUGAAGGAUAUCAAAUGGAAACGCUACAGAGCCUUAGCAAAAACCUUAAACCUACAUUUGUUAAGUCUAAGGAAGAAGAAUGUGCUAAAUGUGCUUUAGAGAUCAGAUUUCGUUACAAAGAACUAGGACCAUCCUAAGCCGAGAAACUGUGGUUUCCGUAAGCAGCUGUAUAACCAAAAUUUCUUGUGUGCCAUGACACAAAGAUGGCCGCUGUAGAUAAACCAAGCAAAAUCAUUUUUAAAACGGACCAGCAACCUGUAUCAGACCAAACUGCAUGUACAAAUUGCGCGUUUCUGAAGUGGAUCUACAGUAUGCACUGAAAAUAUAUUAACAAAAAUAAAAUGUCAGAAUACUUAUUUCAUCCUCACGCUAUAAUUUUAUAAUUCAUGGGCGGGUUUUUUUUCUCAAUAUUACCAUCGCGAUACUAAAUCUAGGGUACGUUAUUUAUAUUUAAAAUCGAUUCAACAAUUGAUUACGUUAAAAAAAUAUAUAUGUCAAAAAUUGAAACAGUUUUCAGUAGUACCUCCAGAACUCAUAAAUCUCUCUCUCAGAAUAACCUUCCAGGCUGGUGAUGUGAAUCCCUCGUGCUUCUCGUUCCUCUCUGGAAAAGGAAGAAGUAGAAACGUGGAGCCAGUGUCCGGGAAAUGGCUGGUGCGCGUGAGUGAUGGGCAGACCUUCAGGAGAACCACACACUCAGGAGCACUGGAGAAUGAGACGUACCAGUGGCAUCCCACACAUCAAACUCUAUACACCGAUGAUCGUAAACACUGUUUAUUACCGUCCUGAAAAAUGUUUCAGAGAACGCAGUUUUAGCUGUUUGUUGGAUAACUAAAAUCCCAGAAACUCUCAGUGGGUUCCUCGUUCCAUUCUCAUUCCUAAGCGCUUCCCUGCAGGUAGGAAAUAAAACGCCGUGAGAGGAAUAACUAAAGCUGGGUGGAUUAUGAGACCCUAGUCUGUCUUCUACACCUUAUAAUCAAUAAGUGAAAAUCCGUAUCAAAGCAUCCGUUCGCGACACGUAGCUCGUCUGGUGUAAUUCUGCAUUGAGCUUAUUAAAAGCGUAUUAAAAUCAGAACAGCGUGUCCUGUCGCUUUUACAUGUUAACUGUAGUACAGCUGUAGUUCACGGUUUCUAAUCAGCGAGUGGAAAUGAUGAGAAAUACUCCGAAUGCAGUAUGUAUUUAACUGUAGACCAACUCAGCCAAUCACUGAAGCAGGCUCAUGUUGUUCAGUGGGAGAAGACAACAAAUGCCAGUGCUGAAGCCUAGUACUCAUUCAACACUGCAAUUAUAUUUGACAUCUUCGCUUCGCUUAAGGCAUGAACAAUGAAUGUGAAUCUGGAGAAUUUAAACUCUUGCUUUUUUGUUUUUUGUGUUGUGUUUUUUUUUGGUUAUACGUGAAGGACCUCACGGACAAUGAUUCGAUCAAGAUUCGAUCGAGGGAAAGAUAGCGAUGCUCAGAGGAAACAGUAGGAUUGAAAUGUAUUUAUUUUUGUAAAGAUGUUUAAUAUUUAACCCAAACCUAUAUUCUUCAGCUGGACUGACACUGUGCAUCAUUCUUUAUAUUUGCCAUAUCUACGAUCGCAUAGAGCACCGUUUUAAUCCUUAGAAGCGGGAAACAGUCUUGUUUUUCUUCAUGUUAUGAACACUUUGAAGUUCUAUGUAUUGUUCUGAAAAAAAAAAAUCUAGAUAUUUAAGUCAUGACUUACUGGAAUAAAAUGAUGUAUUCACAUAUAUAUUUUUAAUAAGUAUGACAUUUCUGUCUACUGCCCUUAACAUUCUGAUUUUCUCAAUAAAUCAGAUUUGGAAUCGAUUUAUAUCUCUCUCUCCCUCUCAUAGCAUAGGAGCUCAGCAAUAAAAAGACAUUUUCCCAUCCACCUAUCCAUCUCAGCUAGCUCCUCAACCAUAUGGAGUGACUAACUCAGUGGAACAACACUGGAUUAAGAAAGUCAGGCGAAGGAAAACGGGAUUGAAUACGGAUUUAUACGGAACGGUUAAAUCGGGUUCCCAGCUUGCUCAGUUGGUAAAGCAUAGGACUCUUGAUCUCAGGAUUGUGGGUUUGAGUCCCACACUGGGCGCACAGGCGAGUGCAUAUUUACUGCUGGUCCUAAGCCUCAGAUAAACGCUUCAGAAAGCUUUUUAACACCGGAUGCCCUAUGACAAAUCAAUACGUGGACAACGGAAGGGGAUCCACUGUGGCGACCCCUAACUGGAGCAGCCGAAAGAACACAAACUAAAGUGUAUUUCAUUAGCUCCUUCCCUUGAAUUAUAUUUAAGGUAUAAAACAUGACGAGGUGUGCCGUUACAGGAAAACAAAUCAACAGCAAGUAGACGCCGAUUCUUUAUACAGCAGAAUCGAAUUCCUAUUGGUCAGAAGACGAUGAUUAAAUUUUCCUCCGAUAGUACACUUGUUUCAGCUGUAAGGUGAAUCAACGUGCUCGUGCGGAUACCUUAUUUGUCAAUAGCACCGGCACGAGGACUUGUCCGGUGGAUGCACCAGAAAAACUGAUUAACAAAAACGUACCUUGUUGAACACUUAUUCGGAAGGAGUCUCCAGUAUCGGCUGCUUAUUUGGCAGCUGAAUCUUGCGUCUGGCGUAGGCUAGAAAUAAAUUCGCCAUGGCAACAAGUGUCAAUUAUAAACAGUGAUCCCACGUUAGAAAGAACAAUAAGACGAGAUACAGGCUUUAUUAUAAAAGUAUUUAUUACGGCAUUUCGCGAUUACAGCACGUAGAAUUUUUUUCAAAAAAAAAAAUCAUUCUAUAAUAGAACUAAACACUUUAAGAUUUUACUUGCUAGGGGCGAAACAAAAAUAUUAAAAUUCUCUACUCAUCAUUAACGAGUGAUCACUACACCCCCAUGUGGAUGGGGCAUGAUGUGCUCGGACGAUGAACUUCCGGGUUUGGUAGUUUAUAAGCCAUUUAUAUCGUAGAAAUAUUUUGG